rnacentral:SRP_RNA from 1 species
GCCAGGCCUGGUACUGCAUGCUUGUAAUCCCUGCUGAUAGGGAGGUUAAGGCUGGUGGAUCACUGGAGCUCAGGUGCACUGGGUUUCAGUGGGUUAAGUUGAUUGGUGUCCAUAUGAAGUCAAACAAUAAUAUAGUCAUCCCUAAAGAGCAGGGGCCUACCAGGCUGCCUAAAGAGGGUUGAAUCAACUCAAGUUGGAAAAACAGAGCAGGUCAAUACUUCUGUGCUGGUCAGUAAUGAGACUGAGCCCAUGAAUGGCCACUGUACUUGUAGCCUGGAUAAAAUAGAGAAAG